AGCGGGAGAGCGCUCGAGAAGUGCGUUGGCUUUUCUCUUUUUCGCAAAGUUCGCUUUGAACUUGACUAAAAGAAUUGUUGUUGCUGUUUUGUUCUUGUUUUUCUUUGUUAUUCUACUUUUUUGUUUGUGCGAGCAACGCACUGCCUUUGUUUUGUAUGUGGACAUUUUUGGAUGGAAAGAGAGGGAAGAGGAUCGCGGUAGCAGCGUUGCCACCUGGCAAAGUAAAGUGCAGCUGUCAGCUGUUGGUUACCGUUCGCCAUCUCUAUCCAUCUCGUUCACUCUCACACACACAGAUGCACACGGUCAAGGCCAAGUUUUAAAGGGAGCGGUCGGCGGUGGAUAGUGGGGGAGGAACGGGUCUGUUCAUAACCUUCAAACGUUUAGUUCUAGUUUUUUAGGUUAUGUAUUCAACAGCCUCUGAAAUGCAACUAUUUCAACUCAAUAAAAAAAAUAUAGUAAAAUAAAAACAAAUAUACAAAGCAGCACGCACACAAGCACAUUGAGUUCGACCGUAUAUAAAGCUCACACAAUUACACACACACCAACAAAGAACAGCUGAUGACGUUUGUUAUUUUGUGCGCGUCGCUUAUUUUUUACGGCGCCCCUCUGUACGUGUGAGUGUAUGUGAGCUCCCCAUAUCCGCAACUCAUCCGUAUUCACACAUACACACUUAGUGGCCUCUCUCCAAAAACAAUAACAAAGUAACCGUUUGACGAGUGGGACGGAAUACUGCAGCCCUCUCUGUUGCACCUGCUGCACUCGCUCAGCUGUUUUGGCUUUGUUCUUGUUGUUACGGAGAAAAUCGCACAGAGAGCAGUUCAUUUUUUGAAAGGGGAUUUGAAGAAUAUGUUAAUAAACUGGUCGAAGUGGAGGAUCAAGAUGGCAGUACACCCCAAAGACCAGAAGUAUCUUGGCCGCCUAUAUGGACUGCUGUGGACCUAUCUGACCAACCGUAGGUAGCGAAGGUAGCUUUCCCGGCUUCAGUCUGAAUUAGUCCAUCAGCCAAUAGCUUGGUAGGAAUGUCUGGGCAGAAAGACAAAGAAAUUUAGCACCCAUUCUGAAACAGGAAUGCUCAACUUUCAGGCUCUUGGGGCACCACGAAUCCAACUAAUGACUGGGUGGAAGGUCAUGAUCUGCAACUCCAUGCCAACACUCGUUUUCCAACUGCUUUCGCCCGACAGACAUCGCUGCGAGAUUCGAUUUCCAGAAGCAGAGGAUCUCUUCUUGGAACAGCUUGCUGGAGAUGGAGGAACUGCUGCUCCAAGGAAAAGGGGGUUUGACGCUCGCUAUCUUAUUUUUUCAGCCUCCCCUCACAUCGUCUUCUACAAUCGGAAACCCAAUACUGCUUCCGUCUAAAGUAUGUAUCAACAUUGAGAUCGUUUCCGUCUCGAAAACAAGAAGAUUUCUUCCCAUGAGAAUGAUUGAUACCACUGAGUACGCUUCUCCAACUUUUCUGUGAGUAUAUUUUUUGAUAUAAUAUAAUUUUAUGUUACGUUAAGCAACCAAUUAAAUGGCAACAAACAUAACAUGGAAACACAACAGCAAUGAUGAAUUUGAAUUUGGAAAUUUGGCUAGUUUUAAGCACUCGCGUUUUUUGCCUCCCUCUUUUCGAGUCACUUGUUGGAGUCUGACAACGUACCCCCCAUUUGGAUGCAGUUCUAAUCUAUCGACAUGGGAUGGUAGGAAUUAUCCUGUGCCAAGAUCUUGAUGCUAGACAUGUUGAGGAAUCCAUACACACGGACAAUACUUGAGUAUGGGUCAAACUAGGGAUACUUGAAGUUGUAAGGAUAUCUGAAGGAUAUGAAUGCUUAACUAUUGUAACUGGAUGGACUCGGCUAGCGAUUCCCAUCAAGAACACAAAUACAACUUUAUGGACUAGAAGAAAAUGCAUAAGACGGUCUGGCUUACAAAUUGUAUAAAAAGCAUAUUUAUGUAUUCAUAGAGGAUUAUAUUGGGUUAAAAAAGUCUUCAUAUACAUAAUAAAAGAGAUUUCACAUUUUGGUUUUUGUUUCAUCCGUUAAAGGAGUGCACUUUCAAGCGAGUAGCCUGCUAAACCGAACUUCCGCAACCGGGCCAUGGGAGCCCGGAACCGCCUAGGAAGGUAUCACUGUUUAUUCAAUCAGAUCGUGCUUAGGAAUCGGGCGGCCCUGGAGGACAGUGGACCAUGGAGGUCAAGAAGGAUCGGAAGGGCAGGCUGUCGCGCACAUAUAGUAUAACCUAAAUAAAUUGCUCGCUUUGAGACUACACAGAUAAGGGUAAGGUAAACAGACAAAAAUGAAUCAACAUACAAUAUAAAUCGGAUUGGAUUCGCUUAGCCUAGAUGCAUAGUACAAUAAUAAUCCAUUGUUAAUCGCGUCUAAAUACAUAGUAGGAAUACAGUU